rnacentral:miRNA from 1 species
AGGAUUGGUGUAAUAGGUAAAA